rnacentral:lncRNA from 1 species
CCUGUGUUGGCUUUGUGCAUAUUCAGCAUUCGCUUCCUUCCUCCUCUUCCAGUGUGACUCGAACCUGCAGAGGCUCAAGUUGUGUCAAACAUGGGUUUGUUGCAGGUUUGUUGCAGGCUGUAGCCUGGUGAUGCACUUACAUCCGUCAACUGUGUGACGGACACUUCCUCCAUCAUGUGGUGACACAGCAAGGCAGACGUUUCAAAGAAAUGAUGUCACUGCUAACCUGAUUUACGGCUGUGCGGAGGAGGCCUGGGAUGCAGGGGAACGUCUGGGAAAUGGAAACGCCUCUGGGCUGAAAGAAAAGCAGGGUGGAUGCAGCAACAGUCUGAGCGAGAAGAGGCAAGCGGCCAAUGAAGAGCACAGCAAAGACAGCUGUGGGACUGAUUAGCUGAUCUGAGGGAGGCGUCCCAUCGAUUACUGAGGCUGCUGCAUUCAUUUCAAUGAGCAAACAAGUGACUUAUUCUCCAGUCGUUCAAGUUGACUUUGACCCGUUGAAUAAACCUGUUUGUCCAAAGUAAAUGUUCA